CGGAUUGUAGUCUGCAACCCGACUACAUGAAGCUGGAAUCGCUAGUAAUCGCGGAUCAGAAUGCCGCGGUGAAUACGUUCCCGGGUCUUGUACACACCGCCCGUCACACCAUGGGAGUCGGAAAUGCCCGAAGUCUGUGACCCAACCUACGGGAGGGAGCAGCCGAAGGCAGGUCGGAUGACUGGGGUGAAGUCGUAACAAGGUAUC
rnacentral:rRNA from 1 species